UCCGAUAUGGUGUAGUGGCUAACAUUAUCGCCUCUCAUCAAGUGUGUUUCGCGAUAGCCCGGGGUUCGAUUCCCCGUGUCGGAA